AGCGAACGCUGGCGGCAGGCCUAACACAUGCAAGUCGAACGAAGUCUUCGGACUUAGUGGCGGACGGGUGAGUAACACGUGGGAACGUACCUUUUGGUUCGGAACAACUCAGGGAAACUUGAGCUAAUACCGGAUGAGCCCUUAGGGGGAAAGAUUUAUCGCCGAAAGAGCGGCCCGCGUUGGAUUAGCUAGUUGGUGAGGUAAAGGCUCACCAAGGCUACGAUCUAUAGCUGGUCUGAGAGGAUGAUCGGCCACACUGGGACUGAGACACGGCCCAGACUCCUACGGGAGGCAGCAGUGGGGAAUCUUGCGCAAUGGGCGAAAGCCUGACGCAGCCAUGCCGCGUGAAUGAUGAAGGUCUUAGGAUUGUAAAAUUCUUUUACCAGGGACGAUAAUGACGGUACCUGGAGAAAAAGCCCCGGCUAACUUCGUGCCAGCCGCCGCGGUAAUAC
rnacentral:rRNA from 1 species